rnacentral:tRNA from 1 species
UACAUUUUAGUAUAUGACGUAUUAAAGUUUUUGAUACUUUAGGAGAUAGUUUAAUUCUAUCAAAUGUAA